UGGAAACGCGCUAGCCUCCUGCUUCGCGAACGGGAACUUACUGACAUGAAUUACGGCACGUCUGGGCUUCUGAAAACAUGAUAGCCUCCUGUUUCGUAAACGGGGAACUCAUUCGGAUGAUUUACGCGCUGUAACUUACGAAACUGUGCCGGCCUUCUGGUCUUUCCACCUGUGAUUCCUGUGAUAAAGUUUCUGUUAAAUUAGCGAUCAGAGGAAUAAUGGGCACUCGCUAACGAAUUUAAUAACAGGAUUAUAAUUAUUUGUACAGCUUUACGAUCGGAACGAAACGAAAAGGGUAUUGUCGGCCUCUCGAAAAUAAAUGAAAAAUGAUAAAACGAUGACUAAAGGCAACGCGUCGUCCCGUGGAAAGUAAUUAACUGGAAGCACGAAAAGAGAGACUUAUUUCAUUCCGGAUAUUAAUAUUCCCACCAUUCGUGAGAUAUUUUCUACCUGGAUGAACAGGGAAAUUUGUUGCCAACAAAAUGGACGAUUAAUUAGUCGAUACGGCUUGUUCGCGCAGAAACAAUCAUACUUCAUCAUGGAACAACUUGAUAAAUAUUAAAUCGUUCAUUUCAAAGGAUAGAAAGUUUAGCGCGAUUCGAUUACAUAAAAGUAUGAUAAAAUGGUUUCUCUUUAUUUAUAUUUU